UCGAACGAACUUCCGUUAAUUGAUUAUGACGUGCUUGCACUGAAUGAGAUUUUAACACGAAGUGAGUGGCGGACGGGUGAGUAACACGUGGGUAACCUGCCCAGAAGCAGGGGAUAACACCUGGAAACAGAUGCUAAUACCGUAUAACAGAGAAAACCGCCUGGUUUUCUUUUAAAAGAUGGCUCUGCUAUCACUUCUGGAUGGACCCGCGGCGCAUUAGCUAGUUGGUGAGGUAACGGCUCACCAAGGCGAUGAUGCGUAGCCGACCUGAGAGGGUAAUCGGCCACAUUGGGACUGAGACACGGCCCAGACUCCUACGGGAGGCAGCAGUAGGGAAUCUUCCACAAUGGACGCAAGUCUGAUGGAGCAACGCCGCGUGAGUGAAGAAGGGUUUCGGCUCGUAAAGCUCUGUUGUUAAAGAAGAACGUGGGUGAGAGUAACUGUUCACCCAGUGACGGUAUUUAACCAGAAAGCCACGGCUAACUACGUGCCAGCAGCCGCGGUAAUACGUAGGUGGCAAGCGUUAUCCGGAUUUAUUGGGCGUAAAGCGAGCGCAGGCGGUCUUUUAAGUCUAAUGUGAAAGCCUUCGGCUCAACCGAAGAAGUGCAUUGGAAACUGGGAGACUUGAGUGCAGAAGAGGACAGUGGAACUCCAUGUGUAGCGGUGAAAUGCGUAGAUAUAUGGAAGAACACCAGUGGCGAAGGCGGCUGUCUGGUCUGUAACUGACGCUGAGGCUCGAAAGCAUGGGUAGCGAACAGGAUUAGAUACCCUGGUAGUCCAUGCCGUAAACGAUGAUUACUAAGUGUUGGAGGGUUUCCGCCCUUCAGUGCUGCAGCUAACGCAUUAAGUAAUCCGCCUGGGGAGUACGACCGCAAGGUUGAAACUCAAAAGAAUUGACGGGGGCCCGCACAAGCGGUGGAGCAUGUGGUUUAAUUCGAAGCUACGCGAAGAACCUUACCAGGUCUUGACAUCUUCUGCCAACCUAAGAGAUUAGGCGUUCCCUUCGGGGACAGAAUGACAGGUGGUGCAUGGUUGUCGUCAGCUCGUGUCGUGAGAUGUUGGGUUAAGUCCCGCAACGAGCGCAACCCUUAUUACUAGUUGCCAGCAUUCAGUUGGGCACUCUAGUGAGACUGCCGGUGACAAACCGGAGGAAGGUGGGGACGACGUCAAAUCAUCAUGCCCCUUAUGACCUGGGCUACACACGUGCUACAAUGGAUGGUACAACGAGUCGCGAAACCGCGAGGUUUAGCUAAUCUCUUAAAACCAUUCUCAGUUCGGACUGUAGGCUGCAACUCGCCUACACGAAGUCGGAAUCGCUAGUAAUCGCGGAUCAGCAUGCCGCGGUGAAUACGUUCCCGGGCCUUGUACACACCGCCCGUCACACCAUGAGAGUUUGUAACACCCAAAGCCGGUGGGGUAAC
rnacentral:rRNA from 1 species